GACGAACGCUGGCGGCGUGCUUAACACAUGCAAGUCGAACGGAAAGGCCCUGCUUUUGUGGGGUGCUCGAGUGGCGAACGGGUGAGUAACACGUGAGUAACCUGCCCUUGACUUUGGGAUAACUUCAGGAAACUGGGGCUAAUACCGGAUAGGAGCUCCUGCUGCAUGGUGGGGGUUGGAAAGUUUCGGCGGUUGGGGAUGGACUCGCGGCUUAUCAGCUUGUUGGUGGGGUAGUGGCUUACCAAGGCUUUGACGGGUAGCCGGCCUGAGAGGGUGACCGGCCACAUUGGGACUGAGAUACGGCCCAGACUCCUACGGGAGGCAGCAGUGGGGAAUAUUGCACAAUGGGCGGAAGCCUGAUGCAGCAACGCCGCGUGCGGGAUGACGGCCUUCGGGUUGUAAACCGCUUUCGCCUGUGACGAAGCGUGAGUGACGGUAAUGGGUAAAGAAGCACCGGCUAACUACGUGCCAGCAGCCGCGGUGAUACGUAGGGUGCGAGCGUUGUCCGGAUUUAUUGGGCGUAAAGGGCUCGUAGGUGGUUGAUCGCGUCGGAAGUGUAAUCUUGGGGCUUAACCCUGAGCGUGCUUUCGAUACGGGUUGACUUGAGGAAGGUAGGGGAGAAUGGAAUUCCUGGUGGAGCGGUGGAAUGCGCAGAUAUCAGGAGGAACACCAGUGGCGAAGGCGGUUCUCUGGGCCUUUCCUGACGCUGAGGAGCGAAAGCGUGGGGAGCGAACAGGCUUAGAUACCCUGGUAGUCCACGCUGUAAACGGUGGGUACUAGGUGUGGGGUCCAUUCCACGGGUUCCGUGCCGUAGCUAACGCUUUAAGUACCCCGCCUGGGGAGUACGGCCGCAAGGCUAAAACUCAAAGGAAUUGACGGGGCCCCGCACAAGCGGCGGAGCAUGCGGAUUAAUUCGAUGCAACGCGUAGAACCUUACCUGGGUUUGACAUGGAUCGGGAGCGCUCAGAGAUGGGUGUGCCUCUUUUGGGGUCGGUUCACAGGUGGUGCAUGGCUGUCGUCAGCUCGUGUCGUGAGAUGUUGGGUUAAGUCCCGCAACGAGCGCAACCCUUGUUCACUGUUGCCAGCACGUUAUGGUGGGGACUCAGUGGAGACCGCCGGGGUCAACUCGGAGGAAGGUGGGGAUGACGUCAAGUCAUCAUGCUCCUUAUGUCCAGGGCUUCACGCAUGCUACAAUGGCUGGUACAGAGAGUGGCGAGCCUGUGAGGGUGAGCGAAUCUCGGAAAGCCGGUCUCAGUUCGGAUUGGGGUCUGCAACUCGACCUCAUGAAGUCGGAGUCGCUAGUAAUCGCAGAUCAGCAACGCUGCGGUGAAUACGUUCCCGGG
rnacentral:rRNA from 1 species